AGUUGGUGGAGUGAUUUGUCUGGUUAAUUCCGUUAACGAACGAGACCUUAGCCUACUAACUAGUCAGGCCAAUUUCGAUUGGUUCCGACUUCUUAGAGGGACUUUGUGGCUAAACACAAGGAAGUUUGAGGCAAUAACAGGU
rnacentral:rRNA from 1 species